rfam:Trachipleistophora hominis chromosome Tnknown scaffold00212, whole genome shotgun sequence.
GGCCGGAUAGUUCAAUGGUAGAAUGCUUGCUUUGGGUGCAAGAGGCUCCAGGUUCGAGCCCUGGUUCGGCCC